AUUGAACGCUGGCGGCAUGCUUUACACAUGCAAGUCGUACGAGUGGCGAACGGGUGAGUAAUAUAUUGGAACGUACCGAGUAAUGGGGGAUAACCAAUCGAAAGAUUGGCUAAUACCGCAUAUUAUUCGCGCGGCCCAUAUCGGAUUAGCUAGUUGGUGGGGUAAAGGCCUACCAAGGCGACGAUCAGUAGCGGGUCUGAGAGGAUGAUCCGCCAAACUGGGGAUUGGACACGGCCCAACCUCCUACGGGAGGCAGCAGUGGGGAAUAUUGGACAAUGGGCGCAAGCCUGAUCCAGCCAUGCGGCGUGUCUGAAGAAGGCCUUCGGGUUGUAAAGGACUUUUGUUAGGGAAGCGGUACCUAAAGAAUGAGCACCGGCUAACUACGUGCCAGCAGCCGCGGUAAUUC
rnacentral:rRNA from 1 species